rnacentral:rRNA from 1 species
UACAGAGGGUGCAAGCGUUAAUCGGAGUUACUGGGCGUAAAGGGCGCGUAGGCGGUUUGUACAGUCAGGUGUGAAAUUCCCGGGCUCAACCUGGGGGCUGCACUUGAUACGUAUGGACUGGAGUGGGGAAGAGGGUCGUGGAAUUCCCAGUGUAGAGGUGAAAUUCGUAGAUAUUGGGAAGAACACCGGUGGCGAAGGCGGCGACCUGGUCCUUGACUGACGCUGAGGCGCGAAAGCGUGGGGAGCAAACAGG